rnacentral:misc_RNA from 1 species
GUAGGUGAACCUGCGGAAGGAUCAUUAACAACAUAUCCUAACUAAAAAACCCUGUGAACUUUCAACCCCAAAUCGCUUGAUCCGAGUACCUCAGCAAUCUCUGGUAAAUCAUUGUGAACAGCUUUGAGUCAGAGACCUCUGAAUAACCUUGCGCGGUCGCGGUUGGUGAGGCAAGUGACCUGGUACCCUCUCCAGCGAUCGUUUACUGCGCCACCCUUGCAAAUCAAACGCACACUGACAGAACGUUUGAUUCCAGUCAAUGAACACUGACAGAUCAUUGAACACUGGUCUUGCCGACACGGCUGGCGACUGGGUCAGCGAGCUUUGCUCCCACUGUUACUACUUACAAGAUUUCCCAAUUAGUGAAAGCUAUUGGGCUAUAACUAAACGACUGUUAACAAUGGACAUCUCGAUUCUC